CCUACGGGAGGCAGCAGUGGGGAAUAUUGGACAAUGGGCGAAAGCCUGAUCCAGCAAUGCCGCGUGAGUGAUGAAGGCCUUAGGGUUGUAAAGCUCUUUUACUAGGGAUGAUAAUGACAGUACCUAGAGAAUAAGCCCCGGCUAACUCCGUGCCAGCAGCCGCGGUAAUACGGAGGGGGCUAGCGUUGUUCGGAAUUACUGGGCGUAAAGAGUACGUAGGCGGUUAUUCAAGUCAGAGGUGAAAGCCUGGAGCUCAACUCCAGAACUGCCUUUGAAACUAGAUAGCUAGAAUCAUGGAGAGGUUAGUGGAAUUCCGAGUGUAGAGGUGAAAUUCGUAGAUAUUCGGAAGAACACCAGUGGCGAAGGCGACUAACUGGACAUGUAUUGACGCUGAGGUACGAAAGCGUGGGGAGCAAACAGGAUUAGAUACCCUGGUAGUCCACGCCGUAAACGAUGAUAACUAGCUGUUCGGGCUCUCAGAGCUUGAGUGGCGCNGCUACGCAUAAGUUAUCCGCCGUGGGAGGUACGGUCGCGAGAGUAAACGUAACGUAAGAAGUUAGAGUGUUGAGAGNGCGACGGCGACGACGAGGGAGGAGG
rnacentral:rRNA from 1 species